rnacentral:rRNA from 1 species
AUGAACGCUGGCGGCGUGCCUAAUACAUGCAAGUCGAGCGAACAGACGAGGAGCUUGCUCCUCUGACGUUAGCGGCGGACGGGUGAGUAACACGUGGAUAACCUACCUAUAAGACUGGGAUAACUUCGGGAAACCGGAGCUAAUACCGGAUAAUAUAUUGAACCGCAUGGUUCAAUAGUGAAAGACGGUUUUGCUGUCACUUAUAGAUGGAUCCGCGCCGCAUUAGCUAGUUGGUAAGGUAACGGCUUACCAAGGCAACGAUGCGUAGCCGACCUGAGAGGGUGAUCGGCCACACUGGAACUGAGACACGGUCCAGACUCCUACGGGAGGCAGCAGUAGGGAAUCUUCCGCAAUGGGCGAAAGCCUGACGGAGCAACGCCGCGUGAGUGAUGAAGGUCUUCGGAUCGUAAAACUCUGUUAUUAGGGAAGAACAAAUGUGUAAGUAACUAUGCACGUCUUGACGGUACCUAAUCAGAAAACCACGGCUAACUACGU